rnacentral:rRNA from 1 species
GAACGGUAGCACAGAGAGCUUGCUCUUGGGUGACGAGUGGCGGACGGGUGAGUAAUGUCUGGGAAACUGCCCGAUGGAGGGGGAUAACUACUGGAAACGGUAGCUAAUACCGCAUAACGUCUUCGGACCAAAGUGGGGGACCUUCGGGCCUCACACCAUCGGAUGUGCCCAGAUGGGAUUAGCUAGUAGGUGGGGUAACGGCUCACCUAGGCGACGAUCCCUAGCUGGUCUGAGAGGAUGACCAGCCACACUGGAACUGAGACACGGUCCAGACUCCUACGGGAGGCAGCAGUGGGGAAUAUUGCACAAUGGGCGCAAGCCUGAUGCAGCCAUGCCGCGUGUAUGAAGAAGGCCUUCGGGUUGUAAAGUACUUUCAGUGGGGAGGAAGGCGAUGGAGUUAAUAGCUUCGUCGAUUGACGUUACCCGCAGAAGAAGCACCGGCUAACUCCGUG